rnacentral:rRNA from 1 species
GCUUAGUCGUAAACAAAGACAGUGGAAUCACAACACUGUUCGCCAGAGAACUACAAGCACAAAGCUCAAAACUCCAAGGACUUGGCGGUGCUCCAUACCAGCCUAGAGGAGCCUGUCCUAUAAUCGAUACCCCACGAUCCACCUCACCACUUUUUGAAAUUCAGCCUAUAUACCGCCGUCCCCAGCCUACCUUAUGAAAGAAACAAAGUAGGCGGAAUAGCCACUCACUAGAACGUCAGGUCAAGGUGUAGCACAUAAAGCGGAAGAGAUGGGCUACACUCUCUAAUACAGAGAACACGAACAGCAUAAUGAAACCCUGCUCGAAGGCGGAUUUAGCAGUAAGAUAAACAAGAGUAUUCAUCUUAAAUAAGCCCUGGAGCGCGCACAC